UCGUCUCUUGACAUACUUGUCCAGAUUGGAGAGCGCGAUGGUAAAAUCGAACGCCGCUUUGCGCUCGGCGAACCCGAGGCAGAUGAAGGCAUGCUUGCCGGUGCCAUCCUCGAUCCUGAGGAUGAAGUAGCGCGACGAUUUGAGCACGGUCUUGACGGAGGUCGCUGGAAUUCGGAUCCUCCAGUCGGAUCUCGCACCGGUCCUUGCACGACCUUUUCCGCUCUCGGCGAGCUUCUCGUCGCUGCUGGCUGCAUCACUGACUUUGAUGAGUAUCGCUCGAUUCUGAACUGGAGCCAGUUGCUGCUGGAUUACAGGUUACAUCAGAUGGAAACCCGAAAAUUCUAGAUGUUCUUGAUCGAUCUUUAUGUUGAAAAGAUGUGGUUUAAGGCAGAGAGCUGCAUGUGCCGAUCGUAUUGGCCCAUAAUUCUUGUUUCAUAUGUUGCUCAAAUUCUGGGGUUUACACCCAU